rnacentral:rRNA from 1 species
GCUGUGAGGCAUGCUGGAGGUAUCAGAAGUGCGAAUGCUGACAUAAGUAACGAUAAAGCGGGUGAAAAGCCCGCUCGCCGGAAGACCAAGGGUUCCUGUCCAACGUUAAUCGGGGCAGGGUGAGUCGACCCCUAAGGCGAGGCCGAAAGGCGUAGUCGAUGGGAAACAGGUUAAUAUUCCUGUACUUGGUGUUACUGCGAAGGGGGGACGGAGAAGGCUAUGUUGGCCGGGCGACGGUUGUCCCGGUUUAAGCGUGUAGGCUGGUUUUCCAGGCAAAUCCGGAAAACCAAGGCUGAGGCGUGAUGACGAGGCACUACGGUGCUGAAGUGACAAAUGCCCUGCUUCCAGGAAAAGCCUCUAAGCAUCAGGUAACAUCAAAUCGUACCCCAAACCGACACAGGUGGUCAGGUAGAGAAUACCAAGGCGCUUGAGAGAACUCGGGUGAAGGAACUAGGCAAAAUGGUGCCGUAACUUCGGGAGAAGGCACGCUGAUAUGUAGGUGAAGCGACUUGCUCGUGGAGCUGAAAUCAGUCGAAGAUACCAGCUGGCUGCAACUGUUUAUUAAAAACACAGCACUGUGCAAACACGAAAGUGGACGUAUACGGUGUGACGCCUGCCCGGUGCCGGAAGGUUAAUUGAUGGGGUUAGCGGCAACGCGAAGCUCUUGAUCGAAGCCCCGGUAAACGGCGGCCGUAACUAUAACGGUCCUAAGGUAGCGAAAUUCCUUGUCGGGUAAGUUCCGACCUGCACGAAUGGCGUAAUGAUGGCCAGGCUGUCUCCACCCGAGACUCAGUGAAAUUGAACUCGCUGUGAAGAUGCAGUGUACCCGCGGCAAGACGGAAAGACCCCGUGAACCUUUACUAUAGCUUGACACUGAACAUUGAGCCUUGAUGUGUAGGAUAGGUGGGAGGCUUUGAAGUGUGGACGCCAGUCUGCAUGGAGCCGACCUUGAAAUACCACCCUUUAAUGUUUGAUGUUCUAACGUUGGCCCCUGAUCGGGGUUGCGGACAGUGUCUGGUGGGUAGUUUGACUGGGGCGGUCUCCUCCUAAAGAGUAACGGAGGAGCACGAAGGUUGGCUAAUCCUGGUCGGACAUCAGGAGGUUAGUGCAAUGGCAUAAGCCAGCUUGACUGCGAGCGUGACGGCGCGAGCAGGUGCGAAAGCAGGUCAUAGUGAUCCGGUGGUUCUGAAUGGAAGGGCCAUCGCUCAACGGAUAAAAGGUACUCCGGGGAUAACAGGCUGAUACCGCCCAAGAGUUCAUAUCGACGGCGGUGUUUGGCACCUCGAUGUCGGCUCAUCACAUCCUGGGGCUGAAGUAGGUCCCAAGGGUAUGGCUGUUCGCCAUUUAAAGUGGUACGCGAGCUGGGUUUAGAACGUCGUGAGACAGUUCGGUCCCUAUCUGCCGUGGGCGCUGGAGAACUGAGGGGGGCUGCUCCUAGUACGAGAGGACCGGAGUGGACGCAUCACUGGUGUUCGGGUUGUCAUGCCAAUGGCACUGCCCGGUAGCUAAAUGCGGAAGAGAUAAGUGCUGAAAGCAUCUAAGCACGAAACUUGCCCCGAGAUGAGUUCUCCCUGACUCCUUGAGAGUCCUGAAGGAACGUUGAAGACGACGACGUUGAUAGGCCGGGUGUGUAAGCGCAGCGAUGCGUUGAGCUAACCGGUACUAAUGAACCGUGAGGCUUAACCUUACAACGCCGAAG